GCGCGGGGCAACCUGGCGGCGAGUGGCGAACGGGUGAGUAAUAUAUCGGAACGUACCCWRGAGUGGGGGAUAACGUAGCGAAAGUUACGCUAAUACCGCAUACGAUCUAWGGAUGAAAGUGGGGGAUCGCAAGACCUCAUGCUCCUGGAGCGGCCGAUAUCUGAUUAGCUAGUUGGUGRGGUAAAGGCYYACCAAGGCRWCGAUCAGUAGCUGGUCUGAGAGGACGACCAGCCACACUGGAACUGAGACACGGUCCAGACUCCUACGGGAGGCAGCAGUGGGGAAUUUUGGACAAUGGGCGCAAGCCUGAUCCAGCAAUGCCGCGUGAGUGAAGAAGGCCUUCGGGUUGUAAAGCUCUUUUGUCAGGGAAGAAACGGUGMGAGCUAAUAUCUCBUGCUAAUGACGGUACCUGAAGAAUAAGCACCGGCUAACUACGUGCCAGCAGCCGCGGUAAUACGUAGGGUGCAAGCGUUAAUCGGAAUUACUGGGCGUAAAGCGUGCGCAGGCGGUUUUGUAAGUCUGAUGUGANAUCCCCGGGCUCAACCUGGGAAUUGCAUUGGAGACUGCAAGGCUAGAAUCU
rnacentral:rRNA from 1 species